rnacentral:lncRNA from 1 species
AGUUAACAUCAUAGAUUUAGACUGGGAGCUGUCUGAAAAAGAGACUGUCUUAGCCCAAGUGCCAGCAGUACCUAGGAAAUAUCACUGUAAUCCAAGUUCUCUCUAGUUAGGAGCAGAGGAGAUAAAAAUCAAAAGCUGGUGAAGCUUUAGCACCUGCCUCAAGCACAGUUCAGCUGAUGAUAACCACCAGUCACUGCACUCAGCAAGAGACCUGAUUCCACCCAUCAUGCUUGGACUGAGACAGGCUAGAAUCCAAAAAUGCAAAUGCCAAAACUGCUGUUUUCUUCUUAACCCUUCUUAUCAGCAAGCUGUGGAUGCUUGGGGAGUAAAGCCUGGUGACAGUGGUUGUCACACAGGGAAGAUGGGAUUGUGUUCAGGACAGAGCAAGUUGAAGAAAGCUAAAGGGAACUCUGAGUGGGAGAGCCUUGCAAUGGGACAACAGCCAAGAGAACACCUGAACAGCAGAGCACUUUGGUAG